GGACUACUGAGGAGUCCUACCAUAGGAUGAAACGGUCGUCCAGUGU
rnacentral:hammerhead_ribozyme from 1 species